rnacentral:misc_RNA from 1 species
AGUUGGUUAGAGCGCGCGCUUGAUAAGCGUGAGGUCGGAAGUUCAAGUCUUCCCAGGCCCACCAUUUUGAUCGAGUGCGGAGCAUUCGUCUUCUGGUACGGGGCCAUAGCUCAGCUGGGAGAGCGCGUGCUUUGCAAGCAUGAGGUCGUCGGUUCGAUCCCGUCUGGCUCCACCAGAUGGAAUUGAAGCUCGAGAAUGCCUCGUCAAAUUCGUCCGCGAAACAUCACUUCGCACUCAUUGGUCCGGAUGGACGGUGACGUGCGUGUUUUCUGACAUCGUAAAGAGGAGAUCGAUCCGAGUUUGGAUCUGCGAAGCAAUUCGCGGGUACCAUUCCUAAUCUCCAGAUCGUUUUCGGCGCUCGUUCAUCGCUACUCAUCGCAAGAUGAGUGAGAUGAGUGAGUUGUAAAACGACCUUUGUAGCGAAGCUUGACCGCCUCGCUAUCGGGCCGAUCUUACGAAGCAAGCUGGUCUUUCUAGUCAAUGUCCGGCUGUGCAAUCGCAUUCAUCGAGGAUGCGCGCCUGGGACUUCGGUCUUUGGGCAAUUACACAGACAACAUUCUGCCGAGUGUGUGGACAUUGAUAAUGAGAGCAAUCAAGUGCCUUAAGGGUGUUCGGUGGAUGCCUUGGCGCUGAGAGGCGAUGAAGGACGUGCUACGCUGCGAUAAGCCGUGGGGAGCUGCGAAGAAGCUUUGAUCCACGGAUUUCCGAAU